CCAGCUUCAAAUCAAUGCAGCCUCUAUUGCUUCCUGAUGCUUGAUAACAUCACUUAUGUUGCCCAGGAAGAGCUUUGAGUUACUGAUGACUCUCAUUCCAUGUCGCUAUGUGUUCAUUCACUCUGCAAUGAUUUACUGAAUGCCUUCUAUGUACCAAGCACUCUGCCAGGUGCUUGGGUACAAAAGGAAAGCUCUGUAGACAACGAUUGUAACAGAACUGAGAAAGUGAAACCAAAAAGUGGAAAUACAACUCUAGUGCCCUGAGGAAGAUGGUGAAUGAGUUAAGCAUUAAUAUUACAGGAAAGAAGACUGGAUCCAGACCCAAGAGAGGGUUCUUGUAUCUCAGGCAAGAAAGAAUUCUGGGCAAGUUCACAGAGGAAAAUGAAAGCACAUUUAUUAAGAAAGUAAAGCAAUAAAACAAAAACAAUGGCUACUCCACAGACACAGCAGCUCUGAGGCUGCUGGAUGGCUACUUUCAAGGUUAUUUCUUGAUUAUAUCCUAAAUAUGAGGUGGAUUAUUCAUGAGUUUUCCAGGAAAGGGGCGGGGAUUUCCUGGAACUGAGAGUUCUUUUUCCUUUUAGACCAUAUAGGGUAACUGCUGGACGUUGCCAUGGCACCUAUAUACAGUCAUGGUGCUGGUGGUAGUGUCUUUCAGCAUGCUAAUGCAUUAUAAUUAUCAUAUACUGAGCAG